GAUGAAGAACGCAGCGAAAUGCGAUAAGUAAUGUGAAUUGCAGAAUUCAGUGAAUCAUCGAAUCUUUGAACGCACAUUGCGCCCCUUGGUAUUCCGAGGGGCAUGCCUGUUCGAGCGUCAUUAUAACCCUCAAGCUCAGCUUGGUGUUGGGGCCUGCUGCGCUGGCAGCCCUUAAAAUCAGUGGCGGCGCCAUCUGGCUCUAAGCGUAGUAAUUCUUCUCGCUAUGGAGUCCUGGUGGAUGCUUGCCAUCAACCCCCAAUUUUUCUAUGGUUGACCUCGGAUCAGGUAGGGAUACCCGCUGAACUUAAGCAUAUCAAUAAGCGGAGGA
rnacentral:misc_RNA from 1 species